GUGUUUUGGCUAACUAAUCCCAAGUUCAAGCCUUGGCGUUUUUCUCUCCAAGUCUCUACUCUCUCUCACUUCAACCGCCUCAUUAUUUUCUUUUCUUUCUUUGAGUCCCAUGGACCAUGGCCAUACCUCUUUCUUCUCUCUGACUAGAGGCUAGGUCCACAUAUCUUUGUUCUUUCUUCAAUUCAAAUUGAAAAAUCACUACAGAGACAUGAUGGCAAGCUCAAGCAUUAUGAGACAUACUGUGGCUCUUGCUAUGGUACAACAACGGGAUGGUGAAAUGCUCUGCUAUCAAUAGCUCGUCGUUAGAUGAAGAUAGGGCAAAGUUUGUGGAAGUGUCUAAAAAUGCAAAUGUUGUUCCACUCUAUCGAUGCAUAUUCUCUAAUCAUCUUACUUCGGUUCUAGCAUAUCAGUGCUUGGUUGAAGAAGACAAUUGAGAGGCUCCAAGUUUUCUUUUUGAGUCAGUGGAGCCACAUCCUAUUGUUUCUAGAAUUGGACGGUAUAGUGCAGUUGGAGCUCAACCAACAAUGGAAAUUGUUGCAAAAGAAAAUAUGGUAACAAUAAUGGACCAUGAGGAAAGGAGUUUGACUAAAGAGUUGGUUGAAGAUCCAAUGGUGAUUACCAGAAGAAUCUCAAAGGGCUGGAAACCUCAACUUAUUGAUAAACUCCCAUGCACAUUUUGUGACCAUUGCCUGGUUGAUUUGUUGCAUGGAUGGCAAGAUGGAAGACUACCAUAUAACCUAUGGAUGGUAGGACCAUUGGGACUUCCACCCUUCAAUGUAUCCUUUACAUUUUAAGGGCGUUCCUUCGGUCCAACAAUCCCCAGCUCUUCAAAAAUCAUCAGCUGCAUCCCCUUAACCAAGUAACUUAUAAGCAAUGUUAUGAAUAUCGUUUCGAACCCCGUUUUGGUUUGUCCAAUGAAAUGGAAUAUUUCGGUAUCGGCUUAUUUCGGUGUACUGUUUCAGGUGUUUCGAGGUUCCUAAAAUUAUAUAUAUAUAUAUAUAUAUAUAUAUUCUUAUACAACAUAAAAUGAUCAAUUCAAAGAAAAGGCACCAUUUAAUUGUAUAAAACUAUAAAUUAAACACAAAUCUACAAAUCACAGUGUCAAACAACAUUUUAAAAAAAAUUA